rnacentral:rRNA from 1 species
UACGAAGGGGGCUAGCGUUGUUCGGAAUUACUGGGCGUAAAGGGCGCGUAGGCGGCUUCGCUAGUCGGGCGUGAAAUGCCUGGGCUUAACCCGGGAAUUGCGUUCGAUACUUCGAGGCUAGAGUGUGGGAGAGGUUGGUGGAAUUCCCAGUGUAGAGGUGAAAUUCGUAGAUAUUGGGAAGAACACCGGUGGCGAAGGCGGCCAACUGGACCACAACUGACGCUGAGCGCGAAAGCGUGGGAGCAAACAGG